GAUCAAAAGAUAAUGAUUCAGUUGAUGAUAUAUUAAAAAAAAUUUUCUAAUAAUCAUCAUGCUUUAGCCAAAGACGUCCAGAAUCAUCGACCUAUGAGAUCACAUAGGAUAUUUGCUCUCUUUAUUAGGAGUGACUGAUCUCUUAUUGAUCACUCACAACCUCUAUGCAUACUUCACCAUAUCUAGAACACUCCAUACAAAGAUCAGAG
rnacentral:lncRNA from 1 species